GAGAGAGAGAGAGAGAGAAAACAAAACACACACAUGCACACAAAGCACUUGCUCCCUGCUAAUCAGUUUUAUAAUUCUAUUUCUCCAAGUCUAGGAAAAUACUAGGCUAUAGAAAUAUUUACAAAGACGACAUAUUCUUUCCUUGUCAUUUUGAUUUAGAAUUAGUGAUCCAAAAUAGGAGAAUUAGUUAUUAAUACUAAGGGAAUAAAUUCCUUAAAGAAAGCAAAUACUAAGUAGUAAGAAUUGCAGAGCUUGUAGAUAAUGAUAAUGUUCGGCCUAAUUAUAAAAUCCAAGGAGAAUUACAAGAAAAUCUAAAUCAACAAAAUUGAAAUUACAUAAAUAAUUUUCAGUUUCCUUUAUGCUUGGCUGCAUCAUUUAAUGAAGUAUUCAUAUGUGAUAAUAAACAAUAUAAACUCAAAAGACCUUAUUUAGAGAAUUAUUACUGCCGCUAAGCAUGAAUAGAAUCUAAGAUGAGUACAGAUUGGAGGAAACACUAAUUAAACAAGGCUGACAGGCAUACUGUGAUUUGUCUAUCUUGGAGCCAAAUUAAUUGGCCAAAACUGUUAGCCUUCUGCCUUAUGCAUUCAUGUUACUAUCCAAUAGUCUAAGACUAGUCAAUUGCAGCUUUGUUGUCAUCUCCUCUAAUUGCAGGUAUCUGUGCUUAAUAAUUUGGUAUAAUAUGAAAACUUUGCUUCUUGCCUUUGUUCAGUAUGAUGCAGAUUUUGUAUUUGAAUUUUUAGAAAGGUCAGGACUAACAUUAGUUUCAAAUAUAUGAGAAGUGAGUAUUGUGGGAUUGAAAUACAUAUUUUCCAUUCUUCUAUGUGUGCAUAUAUGCAUAAAUUGCACCAGUCACAGAUCUAAUUCAAUUAUGGUUAUUGCUUAAAUGAGGCUGUUAGAAGUCCCUUGAAUACUUCUGUUCAGAAUUAAUGUCUAUUUUCAGCUGAUGCAUAGUGGAUCAGACUGUGAAUGCAUUGCUCUGUUCCAGUUAUACUUAAUAUUAGAUGUAUAGUAAAACAUUUCAGUAUUUACUUGCAGAGAGGAGACAGCUGUCCUUAGCUAACUCACUUUGUGUUCUUGUUUGACUUUUCGUGGAUUUUGGUUAUUUUUAUUGAUUUUUAAUUAGAGUAGUUAACUAGUGAUUCUAAUAUAUUUAUUCUAACUGAUGAUUAUUUGAAGAUUUCAGCAGCUUCUGUACUUUCCAUACAACAGUGUUGGCUUUUAGUAGAUGCAUAAUCUUUGCAUUGCAUACGGAUAUGGGUUAGUGUUGUUGAUAUCUCAGGAAUCUAACCAUGAAUGCAGAGAAUCUCAUUUGCAACUUUAGUUUGUUUCUGCAAUCUGCAAUAUGUGAUCUCAGACUGUUUUGUCCCUGAAAAAGCACCCUUAAAUUUCCGCUGUUUGAAACUUAGGCUGCUGAACAAGAAUUAGUUUCCAACUAAAUUAUUUUUGUUUAACUGCAAUAUAUACAUUAUAUUGUCUCUCUCUCUCUUUUUUGGGGUUUAUGCAAAUUAUAAUUUUUUCAGAUAGUUGCAUAAGCAAAUUCAGGAAUGACAUGUUUGAUUGCUAAUACAAUUGCUUGAUGUUCAAAUUUAUUAUUUUUCCUUUUCUUAUCUCCUGGAAUAUCCCUUAUAUUUUUAAUUUUUGUGAAUUAAUUUUUCUAACAGAUAUUAGAGUAACAGCUUAUUACUUUAUUAUUAUUAUUUUUUGGAUUUUCAAAGUAUGAUAAAAGAAGAAAACAAUGUUAUGAUCGAGGAGAAGCAAAUUGAAAAAUCUCAAAUCUUUAAUUUCUUCAACACGAAGCUCGAGUGAAGGGACAGCAGACCAUAGUUGCAAAACUGAAGAACGAAAGAGUAAUGAUCAAAUGAAAAAGAAGCAAAGCAAAAAGUCUCAUUCGUUCAAUUCUUCAAGAGGAAGCUUGAAUGAGAGGCUAGGUAGAAGAGCCUCAGUUUACAGGCCUCGAAAGAAUGAUGUCGAAAGUAGCUCGAGUUACAGCAGGCCUAAAAGGGGUGAAGCUGAAAGUUAUCACAAGGGGAUUCAAAAACUUAUGCCGAGAUAUCCCAAGGAUAGUGGUAUUGAAAGUACCAUUUCAUCUACCUCCACAUCAUUGACAUUCAAGGGAAGAAGCUAGAGUGGGAAGGAUGAUAAAAGAAUGGAAGGAAUUUCAGACACCGCAGUUGUAAAGAACGAAGUGAAACUAGAUGGCAGCAAUCCUAAUGUUUCUAUUUCUCCAAUUCGUUCGAAUAGGUGCAGUAGCUCUGAUGACAAUCGAAGUUCUAUAACAAAAAAUACUGUCACUAGGAUAGCUAAAAAACCAUCCAAAAUUCCCAGCAAUAGUAACGUUCCUAUGUUAGGGAAAGUAAGUGAAGAUUCCACCAGUGAAAGGGUGACAUUGAGUUCAACAAACAACAUAAUGUCAACAGAUACUAGUAUAUCACGGGAUUUCUUUCCUCCAAACUAGGUGAUAUCAGGCCAGGAGGUGUUAUGGCAGGGAUAAAUUAUUUUGCUUGCUGCUGUGGAGGCUUUACAAGAGGCUUCUGCAGCUGAGAAAUUGCUCAAAUGCCUAAGGUGUGCUACUUAGUGUGAUAACUAUUGCCAGCAGAGGCUUUGCUGAUGUAUUUAGGUAAUUAAUGACAGAUGUGAGAGAAGUUUAAGACUGUAUGUCAGGUAAUACUUUCUUGUGAUUUUUCCGGCAUUUAUUCUCUAAGUCAAGGAGGAUAAGCAGCAUCCAUCAGUAGACAAAUUUUUUAGUCUUCAGGAUGACUGGGUUCAGGCCAAAUUAAUUUCUCGAUCAUUAACCAGUAUUAUUAAUCAGGGAAUAGCUAAUACUUGUUACAAUUGCUUCUUAUUCUGUAAGAGAAGAAACAAAACUUGCAUUUGAGAGAAAGCUAAAUGCAAUUACAUGGAUGAAAGCAGCUUUGGAUUCUGAUCUUAACUCAGUUUCUGAUCAUAUCAAAGCCACUAGUAUUUCCAUGGAAAGUAAUAGGUACACACAGAAGUGAAUUGAUUGAUAAAGAGUGCACCGAUAAGUGCUUUGGCUGUAUUAUCAGAAAUUGCAAAUGCCUUGAAUAAAGAGUGUAGAACAUGGUUUUUUGAGGAUUACUUAGAUUGGGUUAAUAGCAAUUAUUAGUAAUUAUUUAUUGGUAACAUGUAUAUGAGGAAUAGAAUUUCAGAAUUUAAAAAAAGAAAGAGAAAAAAAGAAUUAAAGAACAUAAAAUUAAUUAUUUGUAGACAAGGUUACAAGCUUACUGAAAACACAACGAAGUCUCACGUUUCUGCUGUCAUCAAGUGGUCGAUAAGCACUGAUCGAC
rnacentral:misc_RNA from 1 species